AUUGAACGCUGGCGGCAGGCCUAACACAUGCAAGUCGAACGGUAACAGAAAGCAGCUUGCUGCUUUGCUGACGAGUGGCGGACGGGUGAGUAAUGUCUGGGAAACUGCCUGAUGGAGGGGGAUAACUACUGGAAACGGUAGCUAAUACCGCAUAACGUCGCAAGACCAAAGAGGGGGACCUUCGGGCCUCUUGCCAUCGGAUGUGCCCAGAUGGGAUUAGCUUGUUGGUGGGGUAACGGCUCACCAAGGCGACGAUCCCUAGCUGGUCUGAGAGGAUGACCAGCCACACUGGAACUGAGACACGGUCCAGAAUCCUACGGGAGGCAGCAGUGGGGAAUAUUGCACAAUGGGCGCAAGCCUGAUGCAGCCAUGCCGCGUGUAUGAAGAAGGCCUUCGGGUUGUAAAGUACUUUCAGCGGGGAGGAAGGGAGUAAAGUUAAUACCUUUGCUCAUUGACGUUACCCGCAGAAGAAGCACCGGCUAACUCCGUG
rnacentral:rRNA from 1 species